GUGUCAGCAGCCGCGGUAAUACGGAGGGUGCAAGCGUUGCUCGGAAUUACUGGGCGUAAAGCGCGUGUAGGCGGUUUCGUGUGUCUGGUGUGAAAUCCCCGGGCUCAACCCGGGAAGUGCACUGGAAACUGCGAGACUAGAGUCCCGGAGAGGAAGGUGGAAUUCCAGGUGUAGCGGUGAAAUGCGUAGAUAUCUGGAAGAACACCGGUGGCGAAGGCGGCCUUCUGGACGGUGACUGACGCUGAGACGCGAAAGCGUGGGGAGCAAACAGGAUUAGAUACCCUGGUAGUCCACGCCAUAAACGAUGGGCACUAGGUGUCGCGGGUAUUGACCCCUGCGGUGCCACAGCUAACGCAUUAAGUGCCCCGCCUGGGGAUUACGGCCGCAAGGUUAAA
rnacentral:rRNA from 1 species